UACAGAGGUCUCAAGCGUUGUUCGGAUUCAUUGGGCGUAAAGGGUGCGUAGGCUGUGCGGAAAGUUGGGUGUGAAAUACCUCGGCUCAACCGAGGAACUGCACUCAAAACUACCGUGCUUGAGGAAGACAGAGGUAAGCGGAACUUAGGGUGGAGCGGUGAAAUGCGUUGAUAUACCUAAGGAACACCGGGUGGCGAAAGCGGCUUACUGGGUCUUUUUCUGACGCUGAGGCACGAAAGCUAGGGUA
rnacentral:rRNA from 1 species